CAGCCUCACCCAGGGAUGGAGGUCAUUGAGGAGUCAUUUAUUACAGCGUGGACUUUCUGAGAAGAGGAAUUAAACCACCCAAUCCCAUUUCCUCUGAUGACAAGUAAUGAUCACAGGGCCCCAGCUUCUGGAAAGGGCUAUGCCUCAGCAUGUUUCCACAGAGAUAAACAAAGUUAAGGAAGAGAUUAUUAAUGGGGCUUGUGCCUGGAGACCAUGACUCGGUGACUCUGGUUCUGCCCCUCACUCUAAGUGGAUCCCCAGUCCUCCCUGGGACAGUUUGGCUUUCUGCUUCUGCCUCCGCAGCUCCGGCGUAAGUCAGUAAGGAGCUCUAGCCUCCCGCCGCUCCUCCUUGGCUGAAGAGAUUUCCCGUGACUGUGUGUGAGAUGUGCUUUGGGUCUACCGUUCUUGGAUUGAUCUCACAUUGACGAGCCGGGAUCACAAGUGUGCCUAGCGCCUGGGAGACUGUUUAAACCAUCCACCAACCGGUGCUUGUUGACUUUAUUUAUGUUCCCACAAAUGCCAGUCAAGGACACCUUUGACAAAGAACAGACUGCACCUCAAGGGCCCCACGUCUCCCUUCCCGCACCUUCCUAUCUGUAUAGUCUGAAGAACUCUGGUUAAUUUUGAUGUAUUUUCCCUCAAUUAUUCAUCUCUGCUUGGGGUAUUUGAACACCUGCUUUCAGCGUUUAUUUUCUUCGGAUACAUUGGUUAUGUUUGAGAAGAGAUACUAUACCUGUGCCCACUUGAAGCUCAGAAAUACCUGCCGGACUGUCUGGACAGACACAGAGAACAGCUGGAGUUCUUAAACAAGGCCAAGAAAGAACUUGAGGCCAAGACUCACGGCAGGAGGUAGCAUUUGACCUGUAGUUGCCCCCUUUCUCUCCCGGGUGAUGCUCUUGUUUCUGUAGGACCAGCAGUUAGCCUGGAGACGGCAGAUUCUGAAGAAACGUUGUGUCACUAUUGACUGAGCAACUCUUGGCAAGUCAUAGAAGGCUUGUCUCUGCUUGGGAGUGUGCCUGGCGGUGGUGGGUCAUGGGAGAUGAGGUUUGCCUCAAGGGAGGCGGUGAGAAGCAAGACUAUUAGAUAAACACAUUAAAAACAGGGUGCAUGAUUUAGAGUGUCCAGUGGAACCACAAACAAAAAAUGGAACUUGCUAAUGUAGGAGGAACACAUGGUUAUCACCCUUAAGCGAGGCGGUAAGGAAGAGGGGAUCUUUGCAGUUUAGUCUGGUCUUUGCCUAGGGUGUUCUUGACGGACAUGCAUGAGAAAAUUAUCACAGACUCGAAACAGGACCGACAGGGUUGGGGGGCAAUGAUGACAAGAUGGAAUAGU
rnacentral:sRNA from 1 species